UACGUAGGUUGCGAGCGUUGUCCGGAAUUAUUGGGCGUAAAGAGCUCGUAGGCGGCUUGUCGCGUCGGAUGUGAAAGCCCGGGGCUUAACUCCGGGUCUGCAUUCGAUACGGGCAGGCUAGAGUUCGGUAGGGGAGAUCGGAAUUCCUGGUGUAGCGGUGAAAUGCGCAGAUAUCAGGAGGAACACCGGUGGCGAAGGCGGAUCUCUGGGCCGAUACUGACGCUGAGGAGCGAAAGCGUGGGGAGCGAACAGG
rnacentral:rRNA from 1 species